rnacentral:rRNA from 1 species
AAUCUCAUUCAACAUUAUAGAACUAAACAUAUUGAUAUUAGACAUCAUUUUAUUAGAGAUCAUAUUAAUAAUCAUGAUAUAUCUUUAGAUUUUAUUAACACAAAAUAUCAAUUAGCAGAUAUUUUUAUAAAACCAUUGAAUGAGGAACAAUUCGAUAUCAUUAGAAAAGAAUUAGGCCUGUUAAAUCUUCCAAAUGCAUGAAUUCUUCUUAUAUAUUUUUUGGAUCAUUAUCUUAAUUUCUUGGUUUUUAUGACUUGAGUUUUCUUUUUGAAUCAAGAUCAUUUCCUUUGAUUCUCUCUUUUCACUAUUUAUAAAAGAAGACUUGUCAAAAUGAUUUAUGAUAUUUCAGAUUUAUGACUUGAUCUUUCAUUCAUUCAUGUGAUGAUUGAAAUGUUUGCACCAUUGAAUUCUUUUCCUCUUCUCCUUUCUUUUUCUUUAAUGGGGAGUAUGUUCGCAAGAAUGAAACUCAAAGGAAUUGACAGGGGCCCGCACAAGCGGUGGAGCAUGUGGUUUAAUUCGAUGCAAAGCGAAGAACCUUAUGAGGGCUUGACAUGCUAUGAAUCCUCUUGAAAGAGAGGGGUGCCUUCGGGAAUGCGGACAUAGGUGGUGCAUGGCUGUGGUCAGCUCGUGCCAUAAGGUGUUGGAUUAAGUCCCGCAAUGAGCGCAACUCUCAUGUUUAGUUGCCACCAUUGAGUUGGGAACCCUGAACAGACUGUCGAUGAUAAGCUGGAGGAAGGUGGGGAUGACGUCAAGUCAUCAUGCCCUGGGUGAUAUGUGCUACAAUGGCCGGGACAAAGGGUCGCGAUCCUAUGAAGGUGAGCUAACCCCAAAAACCUGUCCUUAGUUCAUAUUGCUAGCUGCAACUCGCCUGAAUGAAGCCGGAAUCGCUAUUUCUCGCUGGUCAGCCAUAUGGUGGUGAAUUCGUUCUCGGGCCUUGUACACACUGCCCGUCACACUAUGGGAACUGGCCAUGUCCAAAGUCAUUACCUGAAUUGCAAGGAGGGGGAUGCCAAAGGCAAGGCUAGUGGCUGGAGUGAAGUCGUAAUAAGGUAGUCGUACUGGAAGGUGCGGCUG